UUGGUGGUAGUAGCAAAUACUCAAGUGAGAACCUUGAGGACUGAAGGUGGAGAAGGGUUCCAUGUGAACAGCAGUUGAACAUGGGUCAGUCGGUCCUAAGGGAUCGGAGAAAUCCGUUUCGAAGCGGGACUUUAUGUGUACGAGUCCCGCCUCAGACCGAAAGGGAAUGGGGUCAAUAUUCCCCAACCCGGACACGGAGAUCGGGCUUUCGGGCCCAAGUGCGGUGACGCAACCGAACUCGGUGACGUCGACGGAGGACCCGGGGAAGAGUUGUCUUUUCUUUGUAAGGGUUCGUGUCCCUGGAAUCGGCUCGUCCGGAGAUAGGGACGCUGUUCCCGUAAAAGCACCGCGGCUCUUGCGGUGUCCGGUCCGCCUCUGUCGGCCCUUGCAAAGCCGAGGGAGAUGGUGUGAUUUUCGUGCCGGACCGUACCCAUAUCCGCAGCAGGUCUCCAAGGU
rnacentral:rRNA from 1 species